UAAUACGGAGGAUCCGAGCGUUAUCCGGAUUUAUUGGGUUUAAAGGGUGCGCAGGCGGGAGAUUAAGUCGGCGGUGAAAUUUUGCAGCUCAACUGUAAAAGUGCCAUCGAUACUGGUUUUCUUGAGUGUGGAUGAAGUAGGCGGAAUUUGUGGUGUAGCGGUGAAAUGCAUAGAUAUCACAAGGAACACCGAUUGCGCAGGCAGCUUACUAAACCAUAACUGACGCUCAGGCACGAAGGCGUGGGGAGCAAACAGGAUUAGAUACCCUGGUAGUCCACGCAGUAAACGAUGAUUACUAGCUGUUUGCGAUACAAUGUAAGCGGCUGAGCGAAAGCGUUAAGUAAUCCACCUGGGGAGUACGUUCGCAAGAAUG
rnacentral:rRNA from 1 species